GGGUUGUGAGGUUAAGCGACUAAGCGUACACGGUGGAUGCCCUGGCAGUCAGAGGCGAUGAAGGGCGUGCUAAUCUGCGAUAAGCGCCGGUAAGGUGAUAUGAACCGUUAUAACCGGCGAUACCCGAAUGGGGAAACCCAGUGUGAUUCGUCACACUAUCAUUAACUGAAUCCAUAGGUUAAUGAGGCGAACCGGGGGAACUGAAACAUCUAAGUACCCCGAGGAAAAGAAAUCAACCGAGAUUCCCCCAGUAGCGGCGAGCGAACGGGGAGGAGCCCAGAGCCUGAAUCAGCAUGUGUGUUAGUGGAAGCGUCUGGAAAGGCGCGCGAUACAGGGUGACAGCCCCGUACACAAAAGCGCAUGUGCUGUGAGCUCGAUGAGUAGGGCGGGACACGUGGUAUCCUGUCUGAAUAUGGGGGGACCAUCCUCCAAGGCUAAAUACUCCUGACUGACCGAUAGUGAACCAGUACCGUGAGGGAAAGGCGAAAAGAACCCCGGCGAGGGGAGUGAAAAAGAACCUGAAACCGUGUACGUACAAGCAGUGGGAGCACCCUUGGGGUGUGACUGCGUACCUUUUGUAUAAUGGGUCAGCGACUUAUAUUCUGUAGCAAGGUUAACCGUAUAGGGGAGCCGUAGGGAAACCGAGUCUUAACCGGGCGUUAAGUUGCAGGGUAUAGACCCGAAACCCGGUGAUCUAGCCAUGGGCAGGUUGAAGGUUGGGUAACACUAACUGGAGGACCGAACCGACUAAUGUUGAAAAAUUAGCGGAUGACCUGUGGCUGGGGGUGAAAGGCCAAUCAAACCGGGAGAUAGCUGGUUCUCCCCGAAAGCUAUUUAGGUAGCGCCUCGUGAAUUCAUCUCCGGGGGUAGAGCACUGUUUCGGCUAGGGGGCCAUCCCGGCUUACCAACCCGAUGCAAACUGCGAAUACCGGAGAAUGUUAUCACGGGAGACACACGGCGGGUGCUAACGUCCGUCGUGAAGAGGGAAACAACCCAGACCGCCAGCUAAGGUCCCAAAGUCAUGGUUAAGUGGGAAACGAUGUGGGAAGGCCCAGACAGCCAGGAUGUUGGCUUAGAAGCAGCCAUCAUUUAAAGAAAGCGUAAUAGCUCACUGGUCGAGUCGGCCUGCGCGGAAGAUGUAACGGGGCUAAACCAUGCACCGAAGCUGCGGCAGCGA
rnacentral:rRNA from 1 species